GCGCCCGUAGCUCAGUUGGAUAGAGCACCGGCCUUCUAAGCCGGGGGUCGAAGGUUCGAGUCCUUCCGGGCGCG
rnacentral:tRNA from 1 species